AGGUUUUUAUGCGGAGCCGGUGAGGUGGAAGGACGAAGUCAUCCCAGCGACCGAAUCCCUCCCCGCAGACAGACAGCAGCCGCAGCUCGACGCUGAAGUUCACUUCCUAUUGAGUGUCGGACAACCGGCCAAAAACAAUAGCCAGAGGGUUCUGGUCGUCUUCUAUAUACCAACGUCAGACUUACUUCGGUGGAAAAGAGCUUGAGGCCUUGAAGGUUCACUGAAAUCUCUUUCUGAAAAACAUUAAUCCUCCGCCUCUUCGCCCGUCUGCAUCAUAACAAGAGGGGAAACUCUCUGCGCGAUUCCUGGACUUGCUGCCUCGGAGUAUUGGUUAACUGGCUGGAGUGGAAAAGCACGUCAUAGCAGGUGCAUAAACCUGCUCAACCUUAAACCCUCCCUUUAUUUAUUGUCUUCUUCUUCUCCCUCACCUGAGAAAAGAAUGAAAAAGUCUCAGAUGUCGGUCUACUGUUGCUUUUUCUCUCUCUUUUUAUUAUUUGUUCCCCGAGGGGGAAAAAAGAUGAGGAAAAAAAAUAAAUAAAAACAGGGUGGCAGCUAUAUUAAUUUCGAAAAUUUCUUGAUCUAGCUCUUGGUUUUUCCUCGAAACAUUUCCCAUUUUAAAAGCACACUUGUGACAGAGCGCCUCUCCCUCCAUUUCCGUUCAUGUUUUAUUUUACUUUUACUUUGCCUUAUUAGCUUUUUGCAGGGAAGCAGAAGGAGGAACUCAACUAUGGCGCUGUUAAUGCAACUCCUCCUGGCCACAUUAUAACAUUUAAACCUGAGACUAACAAAAAAUAUCACCCUCACUGCCAAAAAGAAAUCAUGGAGAGUUGUGCCGUUCCUUUAGGCUGUUUAUUUUUUAGCAUAAUUGUGUGUGUUUUCAUGAUUACUGUAUUGAGUUUCUUGUGCACACUAUUUUAAGUCAGUGUUACACACAAGAACACAACGCCCAGAUCUACAGACAAUAUUUACUUGAUUGCCACACCCGUCUGUUCACAUAAUGUGGAUUCAUUCCUGAACUGUUUCUUAACUACUGUACAUUCACCUUAUUGUCUCUAACAGCAUAAGCAGAACCAGCCCUUUAUUGCUAGGGUGUGUAAAAUAAAGUUUUAAUUUUACCUAAUAAGUUAAAACAUAUAAAUGAAGAUACCUGUUCUCUUUAACAAUAUUGUUUAUGCCAAACUGUUUAUUCAUUAUUAGAACAACUAAUGUAUCACUUCCUGCAUUUGGUGAUGUUUAAUUACAUUCCUAAAUUAAUGUCAGACUUAAAAUAAUGAGACAGAAUUCAGGUCUUAACCUGAGUAUUUAUUCUGGUUGUUACUGUUAUUGUUCAGUUUCUUUUUUAAAUAUAUGCAUAUAUAUAUUUUUUUUUUAUUGGAGGGGUGUCUGAGUGAAUGCUGAAAAAUUCCCAUCCUUUGAUUUUUUUUUUUUUUUUUGCAUAGAUCUUGUCCGUCAGUGGAUGACUUGUCCAAGAAUGGGGAAUCAGUACAUCACAAAAACCAUGCAGAAACAGUGAAAAGGCACAAUCACCAUAAAUAUCAGAUACACAAAAUUUCAAAUGUUUAUAGGUUUAUCUUUUUUUUUUUAAUGAAUGAGGGAGGGGUUGUACCAACUCAGGUGUAAUAUGGACAAAUCCUCCCAAGUAUUUUUAAGCUGCCAUUAUUUUCAGGGCACAACAUAAUACAGGAAAUCACCUCCCAUACAUUCGAUGCCUUUUGUUUGAAACACCCAUAAUGUUAAACAACUUCUAAUAGCUAUGUGGGAAAAUGCGAGCAUGUCCAUCUUUUUUUUCCUUUAAUGCAGUACAUUUCUUUUCAUAUAUAGAAACUAUUUGUCUUUUGCCUCUUUUUGUCCACAUCCCUCACAUCCAUCCACAACCAAUUUUUGAGAACUUUCACGCAAAGCAUAACACCUUAAUGAUAAUCAGACACAACAUACAGAAAACAUUUUUCAUUUCUGAGUGAGGAAGGGGGUGGAGAGGGGAAUAAAAAAGAUUCAAAACAGAAAACAUUUUCCACCUGCAAUCUGUGGUGAUUUUGCACACUUACACACACUUGUGAUCUUUCAGUUUUAUUUGCAACAGAUUAACAUGAUCUACCUCUCAGGCACAGUAUAGUGUUGGAAUACUGUGGAUGUCAUUAAAGACAGCACUAUAUGUUGUGUGUGUGUGGGGGGUGUGUGAUUAGCUCAACACCUUAUAUGCUCUGCAUUAUUUUGGAUAUAAAUGAUUACAUAAUGUUUAUCUUCAAAGCAAGCAAAAAAAACAAAACAAGGUAGUAUUCACUUUUUUUUAUAUUUUGAGUGCAAAGACUUUUUCAUUCAUAGGAUCACGGCCACAAGAGGAAACAAAAAAGGUACAUCAGAAAAAAAAAAAUCAUAUAAUGUCACUCAUUCAAGCAAAACAUCAAGACAACAAUCAGAAAUGAA